GGCGAACCGUUGCGGCCCGUGGUCGUUUCGGCCGUGUGUGCCGUGCCGUGUUUGUCAUCCUUCCAGAGAGCUGCGUCUACCAUUCACUUGGCCGGACGUACGCGAUCUGGAUCUAUUACUUUGAAAAAAUUAGAGUGUUUAAAGCAGGCUUUCGCUAUGAAUACAUUAGCAUGGAAUAAUAAUUUAGGACUUCGGUCCUAUUUUGUUGGUUUCUAGGACUGAAGUA
rnacentral:rRNA from 1 species